rnacentral:lncRNA from 1 species
GGUACAUGUGAGACACAGGAAGUGAUGUAAAAAAAGGUCUAUAUAUUCGUGUCACUUCCUCUUGCCAGGCUCUCUUUGGCAGCAGAGGCGUUGAGCUCAGGGGUCUCUCUUUCAGAGACAUUGGGUUCGACUAAUGGUAUGGCUCAUCACGGCAUCUUGGUGUCUUAGUGAGGGUCAGCUCGAAGCCACUGAUGGGGACUUCUAUGGCCUGGAAGAGGGAACCCAAACCAGAGGAGAGAUGGCAAUGAGAACCGAUGAAGGGGAAAUACUUUCAAAGCAUCAUGGGCAAGGAGCUAAGUGGGACACGGGCCAAAUCCCAGAGUCACGGAGAUAUUUGAGGGAUGGGAGAAGGAGAGAAUUCCAACCUCCUUCAAUACUGGAGGAGAGAUCUCCUAGCCUGAGUCAGCCCUCCUGACUCCUCACCCAAGCUGCUGGUGAGGCAGACAUGGUGCCUCAGAUCCAUCCAUCCAUCCAUCCAUCCAUGCCAGCCCUGAGCUUCCUCAGUGCGUCCAUUUAUUUAGCCACCCCCACACAACUCUCCUCUAUUUUGUAAGACCCUGAUUACAAGUAUCCCUUCCAUAUCACAACUUUCCCCAUUGUGGUUUUGAUAUAUCACAGAUUGGCAUAAGAAAUUAAAUGGGAAUUCCUUGAGGGUUUUGAGGAAGCCACACAUGAAGGCCUGUAGAUGUCGCAGAAAAAGGUUAGAAACUAUAUAGCUUAUGACCAAAUUUUAUGAGGGAUUGUAAACACCCCAUAUAAGAAAUAGAAAAAAUUCAGACAUCUUUUCUGCUAUGAAGGGAGGGCCAAAAACUGUGAUUCCGAUUUUCAAGAUGGCCAGGGUAGAACGCCCCUAACUCCUGCGAUAUGGAAGGUGAUAGUGUUCUCUCUCCUAGAGGGCAAAGAUGGUAUUUUUGCUUUGUCUUGUAUCUUCAGAAUUUAAUAAAGUUCCUGGAAUAUUCUAAGUGCUUAAUAAA